GCCGCCACUGCUCCGGCCGCCGCCUCAGCGCCACACAUCGCCGGGACACCCGCGCCGGGCAGCCCCGCCGGCUGCCCGCCGGCGCUGUGCCCAGCAGGUGCUCCGGGUCGCCCCUCUGGCCGCCGGGCUCCGUGACCCCAGGACUCCACGCGCCCCUCGCAGCCGUCCGCUGGGGUUUCCGAGCCACCCCGGACCCGCGCGAGUGACAUGCAGGCACUCGCCUGGCCUCCUCAAGACGCGCCGCUCACUAGACAGGUCCCUGGGCCUUCCGCUGCGCCGGCGCCGCGCUAAUGACGCAGGAGGCGGCCCAAGCGGACUGGGCCUGUGAAGGCUGUGGCUGGAAGGCAGUGUCUGCGAAAGUGUCGGGGCUAUCCUUCCAUCUCCUACUUCCAGAAACAACCUGUGCAAAGAGUGGCAGCUCAUGACAAGGAGGGAACUGAGGCCUGAAUGGGUCUCAGUUGAUGCAAAGGAAGGAAUUGUGCGUCCUAUAUAAGGGCAGCAAUUGCUCCAUUUACGGAACGUUAAGCUUCCUUCAAUCUCUUUUCUCCCAUUGCCUCCUUUUAUCUUUUUGUGUUGUGAGGUAAGUCUGUUCUUAUGCCCCAUUUACAGAUAUGGUAUCUGAGACCCAGGGCCGACUCUCUUGCGCACGGCGGAGAAGUGGUCGAGACAGAAUUGGAACCUAGGUUUGUGGUCUUUAUACCAGGAACCUGUCGAACGAUCUUACAGGAGCUUUAGCUCAUUACCUGUUGAUUGUUCUUUUUUUGCUCACUUUAUUUACUGAGCACCACUGCGCCGGGCUUCCCAGGCCCUAGAGAAACGAGAACAUGGCAUGGCACCUGCGCAUGGACCUUUCUGGAGAAGUAAGGAGACAAUAAACGGAAUAAUACAGUGUGGUGUUAAGAAGAAAAUGAAAAGGAUGCCGAGCCCUCAUGAUAAGUGUAGACCUGUGCCUGUGUGCUUCCAAUGAAAAGUAAAUAGAAGAGGUGUGCACAUGUUCCAGGCCUGGCUCAUAACAACCUUCAACAGGUGCUCCUCUAGCCUCUUUCUCUGCCAGCUGGAAGCAAAUAACCACCAGAUUCUGGAAAAGACAAAACUCCUCAAGACUGAAGAUUCCUGAGUGGAGAACCUAUCUCGCCAACCUGCAUGUCCACUCAGAACUGUUAUUUUCAAAGGAAAAAAAAAACUAAUAAUAAUAAUC